AUUUUUUUUAAUUUCUUUUUACAUUUAGGACAUUUGCCUCGAUUCUCCAUGAUUCCUCCAAGUACCCUGAGACAUCAGAAGCGCUCGAAGCCCCCCGCCACGGCUUGUCAGAAACGAGCACCAGCGGAAUCGUCUUCAAAUGAAAUGACGGCCACUUUCUUUGAGCUGCUUCACUAUCAAAAACCAGACGACUGUUCUAAGGAAGAAACGCUACACAUUAAGCCCGUGGAAACUGUUUAAGUGACGAAGCAAAUCAGCCAGACCUCCGGCCACCGGGCUUCUUGACCCGCAGGCCUGGAAUGCCGUUGUUGACCUACACCUCGGCAAUGUGCCACUACACUGCGCACAACCACAGCCGUGGCGGGUUGCGUGUGCGGGCCCGUUCAGACCAGCGGUAGUAGUGACGGUGGUACCGACCCUCUUCCAGGAACCAGGCACUGUUCUGAGCGCUGUGCACCAACUAACCCUUGGAGGGAAGGUGCUGUUUUCACUCCAUUUUCCACAGACUGGUGAGACGGAGGCGCAGGAGAGAGCGGAAGGGACCUGCCCACGGUCACCCAUCUUGUGCGGGACAGAGCUGGACCUAGAACUCAGGCAGCCGGGCUCCCCGCGCUAGGCUCCAGCUGCCUCCACAAGUAAAUGAGGAGAAGAAAGGAGCAGCUGUCGGUAUCAUUUCUCCCCCAGAUGGUGAAACUGCUUUACGAACGGUGGGCUCCGCUACGAUGGGGUCGCGAACCCGCGCUUUCAUCUCCUGAAUGGGCCGCGUGGAAAGGCAGGAAGGGCAGGGAGGAAAGGGAAGUCGAGGGCACGAAUAACCUAUAGCCUGGGUGCACAGCCCCGAGGGAUGCCACAUGAGCCGACAGCGAGUGGGUGACCCCGAGACCCCAGUGGUGUGACACUGGACCCCAGAACCGAGACUGUGACCACGCCCGUUUCGGGAGGCAGGCCCUGGCUCUGCGGCCCUGGGGCUGUUCUUCCAGGAUCGGGAUUUUGAGAUCCGUUGUGGUAACCGCUGGCAAACCGCCGUGCCACAGGCCCCGCCAAUCGACCGGCUCCCAGUAUUGUCUUCAGUUGCUAGACUACGCUGCUUUCCAGUACAUUAUUUGGGAUACAAAAACCUAAAAUGUAAGUAAAGCAUUUUAAUACAAAUAAUUUCAACCGCAACAAGGCAACUGGCCCCUGAUGAAAUUGGCAAGAAAAGGUAAUGAACUCAUUUCGAUUGACAUAUUUAGAGACCCUC
rnacentral:lncRNA from 1 species